rnacentral:misc_RNA from 1 species
GGAAGGAUCAUUAAAGUAUAUUGAAUUCACAUUCAUAUCAACCCACCCUGUGUACCUUAUUACUGUUGCUUCCAUGGGACUUGGCUACGCCACGUCGGCCCUCGGGCUGGUGAGCGCCCAUGGGAGGAAAUCAAAACUCUUUUUUAUACAUGACGUCUGUCUGAACUGUUUAUUUUAAACGUUAAAACUUUCAACAACGGAUCUCUUGGUUCUCGCAUCGAUGAAGAACGCAGCGAAAUGCGAUAAGUAGUGUGAAUUGCAGAAUUCAGUGAAUCAUCGAAUCUUUGAACGCACAUUGCGCCUCCUGGUAUUCCGGGAGGCAUGCCUGUUCGAGCGUCAUCAAAAACCUCAGUCUCUGAUUUAUCAUUGAUUGGUCCUGCAUCGGAUGCCCAGUGUGUCCCCUGCGAAAUUGAAUGGCGAAGAGCCACGCAACCAAAGCGUAGUAUUAAUUUCUCGCGAUGGACGUGUGAGUGCUUCCGCCGCAAACCCCCAUAUUCUUAGUUUUUGACCUCGGAUCAGGUAGGGAUACCCGCUGAACUUAAGCAUAUCAAUAAGCGGAGGAAAAGAAACCAACAGGGAUUGCCUUAGUAACUGCGAGUGAAGCGGCAAAAGCUCAAAUUUGAAAUCUGGCGCUUCCGGCGUCCGAGUUGUAAUUUGUAGAGAUUUCUUCGGAGUGAACACCGGUCCAAGUUCCUUGGAACAGGACGUCACAGAGGGUGAGAAUCCCGUGUCUGGCCGGCUGUUUCAUUCCAUGUGAAGAGUCUUCGACGAGUCGAGUUGUUUGGGAAUGCAGCUCAAAAUGGGUGGUAAAUUUCAUCUAAAGCUAAAUAUUGGCGAGAGACCGAUAGCGCACAAGUAGAGUGAUCGAAAGAUGAAAAGCACUUUGAAAAGAGAGUUAAAAAGUACGUGAAAUUGUUGAAAGGGAAGCGCUUGAGACCAGACUCAAUUUAUGGUGAUCAGCAGUCCUUCUGGGCUGUGCACUUGCCAUUCUUUGGGACAGCAUCGGUUCUGACCGUGUGAUAAAGGUCCAGGGAACGUGGCUCCUCUCGGGGAGUGUUAUAGCCCUGGGCGUAAUGACAUGAGUUGGGACCGAGGACCGCGCUUCGGCUAGGAUGCUGUCAUAAUGGUCUUCAGCGACCCGUCUUGAAACACGGACCAAGGAGUCUAACAUCUAUGCGAGUGUUCGGGUGGAAAACCCUUGCGCGUAAUGAAAGUGAACGGAGGUGGGAACCCCUCGGGGUGCACCAUCGACCGAUCCUGAUGUCUUCGGAUGGAUUUGAGUAAGAGCAUAGCUGUUGGGACCCGAAAGAUGGUGAACUAUGCCUGAAUAGGGUGAAGCCAGAGGAAACUCUGGUGGAGGCUCGCAGCGGUUCUGACGUGCAAAUCGAUCGUCAAAUUUGGGUAUAGGGGCGAAAGACUAAUCGAACCAUCUAGUAGCUGGUUCCUGC